rnacentral:misc_RNA from 1 species
CCGAGUCCACGGGGCUUCGGCCCCCGAACUCCCACCCCUUGUGUACCUUAACCUUUGUUGCUUUGGCGGGCCUGCGCGCCCUGAAAAAGCGCGCUGCCGGCUUCUGCUGGCUCGUGCCCGCCAGAGGCCCUCCAAACUCCUGUUUUUACCGGUGUCGUCUGAGCGUAAACAUGAAUAUUA